rnacentral:rRNA from 1 species
AUGCUCACUGAGGAGGACAUCGUCGACAAGUUCUUCUACCAGUACCCUGACCACCCGGAGCUCCUGCAGGCCGAGCAGCCCUUCGCCGAGAUCCUUGCCGACACCUCAUCCGACGCCCACGAGUCCUUUGCCUCCUCCACCUCCAUCUUGAUGCCCAGCCAAGUCUUGAACGGCACAGGCACAGGCACAGGCACUGUGGAGCCCAGUGGUUUGGUGUUUCCCAUUCCCAGCGAGAGCAGCACCAGAACGGACAUGCUGUCGAGCAUGGCUUUCUUCAAAGGCAUGGAGGAAGCCAACAGGUUCUUGCCCGCAGACAAUGUGAUGGUGGCUGGCAGGGGGCGCAAGAAGAGGUGGUCUGGCAUGGAUGCCGAGACGGAGGCGGGCUUGGGCAGGAGCAGCAAGCAAAUAACGGCGCUGCCGCGUAGUGUCUCGGAGGAGGAGGAGGAGACCACCGCGCUGGAGAUGCUGGACCGGCUGGUCCUCAACGGCUACGAUGCGCACCCGGGCGAGAUGCAGGAGGUGGUACGCGUCACCUUGGAGGACAAGGAGAACAAGGCAGCAGUUGGCAGGCGCGGGAGGCGCGGGGCGAGGCACACGGUGGUGACUGACCUAGAGACCCUGCUGAUCCGCUGCGCUGAAGCAGUGUCCAGCAACGACGUGCGCGGCGCCAGCAAGCUGCUGGAGCGGAUCAAGUGGCACUCCUCGCCGACGGGGGACGCCAAGCAGCGGCUGGCGCACUACUUCGCCCAGGGGCUGGAGGCACGGCUGGCUGGCACGGGGAGCCGGCUGUACCGAGCGCUCAUGGGGAAGCACACCUUAACCGUUGAGCUCAUCAAGGCCUACCAUCUGCACAUGGCUGCCUGCUGCUCGAUCAAGGUUGGUUUGCUCUUUGCCAUCAACACCAUCUGCAAGGCCGUUGCAGGGAGGAGGAAACUGCACAUUGUGCACUACGGCAUCACCACCGGAUUCCAGUGGCCGGACUUGCUCCGGUUGCUGGCCAACAGGGAGGGCGGGCCACCGCAAGUGAGGAUCACCGGCAUUAACACCCCUCGCCCCGGGCUCCGUCCGGCUCAAAUAAUGGAGGAGGCGGGGGACCGGCUCAGCAACUGUGCUAGGCAGUUCGGCGUGCCAUUCGAGUUCCGCGCCAUCGCAUCCAAGCUGGAGGAUGUCCGGGCUGAGGACCUGCACAUCGACCCAGACGAGGUGCUGGUCGUGAACAGCCUGUACGAGUUCAGGACCUUGAUGGACGAGAGCCUAACCUUUGACAUGGUGAGCCUGAGGGACAUGGUGCUCAACAAUAUCAGCAAGAUGAGGCCGGGUGUGUUCGUUCAGUCCCUCGUCAAUGGACCAUACAGCGCGGCUUUCUUCAUGACGCGGUUCCGCCAUGCCUUGUACUACUUCACGGCCUUGUUCGAUGUGAUGGAGAACACCGUUCCACGGGACAACGACCAGAGACUUCUGGUGGAGCGGGACAUCUUUGCACGCUCCGCCAUUAACAUGAUCGCCUGUGAAGGCGCAGACCGGGUGGAGCGCCCUCAGAACUACAAGGAGUGGCAGGCGCGGAACGAGCGAGCGGGGCUAAGGCAGCUGCCCUUGGACCCUGAUGUUGUUCUGAUCCUCAAGGACCAAGUGAAGAGUCGGUACCACAAGCAUUUCAUGAUCAGCGAGGAUCACCGCUGGCUUCUGCAAGGAUGGAAAGGCCGGGUGCUCUAUGCACACUCCACAUGGGUUGUCGAGUGGCACCUGUUUGUUCAAAGCUGCUGU